rnacentral:lncRNA from 1 species
AUUAAUCGUUCAUAAUAAAAACAUAGGUAUUACAAACAUCAUUUUGUGGACCAAAUACCGUGUCCAUGCAAUCAUGUUGUCUAUUUAUGAAUUUAUUUGUAUUAUUACUGCUCUACUAUGGUGCGAUUGGUGUUCCUAUUUGUCUAUUUUGGCAUUUGCUACCUUCUCUGUUGUUUCCUUCUGUGUUGCAUGGCGGAGGAAGAAUUUGGUUAUUUGGAGUGUGCACUGGAGCUAUCGGAAGAUAAUUCCAUUACUGGAUUCAUAACUUUUGGAACAUAAGUACAGGUAAUAGCCUGUGUUUUCUCAUUUGUGUUCUAUUCAAUAUUCAAUCACAAAAAAUAAAACCACAUGAACUGGAGGGUGAUACAUUGAUUAUUUUAUCGAAUAUCUAGCUUAAAAUUAAUCUCCUGUUUGAAGAGUUUUCUGCUGUGUUAAUUCACUUGUAAGAACAGCUAUGUACAUGAUUGCUGCACUGCAUGAUAUCCUACUGUAUUGCUUCUCAGUGAUGAUUAAUUAUGAGAACAGAUAUAAAACUGUUGCUGCUUUUGCUAAUAGUUGGUACUCACUUGCUUCUGGAUCUUCGACGCCACGAUUUUUUCCCUUCGAGAACUGAUACUUGUGUGUUUGCUUUUGUUGUUAUGCCAAAUUUUGUGUUCUGAUUUAGUAAACUGGGUGUGCACAGAUAUACAUUUUGUCCUAAAAAAAGUUAAAUGGAGACAGUCUGAUGAUGCUAAAGCAUUUUCUAAGUCUGAAGUAUCGAGGAAAUUAAGAAGAUGGAAUGUAUGAUGCUAAGCACUAUGUAGUACAGAUGGUCAGAUAUACAUUUUGUCCUAAAAAAAGUUAAAUGGAGACACUCUGAUGAUGCUAAAGCAUUUUCUAAGUCUGAAGUAUCGAGGAAGUUAACAAGAUGGAAUGUAUGAUGCUAAGCUCUUUGUAGUACAGAUGGUCGCUUAUAAUUGUGAUCUGUUUCAUGGAUAAUUAAGUGAUAAUUUUGUGGUCCUUAUAUAUAGUCUGUUAUAAAAAUUUAAUUGUCUCUUAUGUACACCUAUGCUGCCUAACAAACGGUGAGUCCGAGAGCUCUGUCGGAUUAUCAUUGUUUGUUAAAUGAAUUGCUACGAAGGGCAUGUUGGCAGAUUAUUUUCUCUUCUAUAUAUGUUUGUUGAAUGAAUUGCUACAAAUUAAGUUUAUGUUGACAAAUUUGUUUUGUUUUUUCCUUUUUAAGAAUCGGUGAUAUGCAGCUGGUUGAUUUUGCAACAUAAAGACUAGAGAAUUGCUACAAUUUGAGAUGGCAGUGAAUGCUUAUGAGGUCUGUUCUAAGUUUAAGAAAGCUAAUUGUUCUAAACUAUUUACUGUUGCAUCUGUCAUCUGUAG